AUGUGUAUGUGCAUGCAUGUGUAUGAAUGUGUGCAUAUGUGUUCAUGUGUGUGUACUGUAAUUAAAGUUAUGUAAAUCUUAGAGCUUACUUCUGAAAAUUUCCACUUAUGGCUUCCAGACCUCAGUUGACUACUGGAGAAGAAAGUGAAAGGGCACAUGGAGGGGACACGUCCAUGACAGUCUUCUGUUAUCGAUGCCUUGGGCCUCUCUCUCUGAACCCAAGGAUCAGCUAGGAAGCCAUCAAACUCCAGUAUUCCUCCUGUCCCCUCCCUCUUGAGCUGGGGAUAAAGAUGUGUGCCAGUUGUCCAACUUCUUAUAUCACGUGACGCUCAAGGAGAAGGAAGAUCAAAGUGUGA